UAUCUGACGGUGAGUUGGAAACUUUACAGAAAGAUCCUUACGUGCUUGAAAUUCCAGAUAAAACCUUUGACAGAGAAUGUCUACUUCCCAACCCAUCGUCUGAGCAAGCGUCGAACAGCAAACCUCACCAAGACAAGCUGGAGACCUGCAGCUUAACUGUGCCAGCAGUUCCCUGCGAGAAAACAGAAUUGUGUGAUUUCCAGGGGACAACAGCUACGGCUCAUCCAGCCAAUUGCCCAACUGUUCUACCAAAUCCGUUCCGAAGGGUAGGGCCUCCUCACGCUCGCCCCCCUGCAGGAGCUCUGCCAGCCAGCCCUGCUUCCAAAUGUUUGCCAACGGGGGUUCCUGGCAUAUGGCCACCCCCACCGAAUG